rnacentral:rRNA from 1 species
CCUACGGGAGGCAGCAGUGAGGAAUAUUGGUCAAUGGACGCAAGUCUGAACCAGCCAUGCCGCGUGCAGGAAGACGGCUCUAUGAGUUGUACACUGCUUUUGUACGAGGGUAAUCGCAGAUACGCGUAUCUGUCUGAAAGUAUCGUACGAAUAAGGAUCGGCUAACUCCGUGCCAGCAGCCGCGGUAAUACGGAGGAUUCAAGCGUUAUCCGGAUUUAUUGGGUUUAAAGGGUGCGUAGGCGGUCGGAUAAGUUAGAGGUGAAAUCCCGAGGCUCAACUUCGGAAUUGCCUCUGAUACGGUUCGGCUAGAGAGUAGUUGCGGUAGGCGGAAUGUAUGGUGUAGCGGUGAAAUGCUUAGAGAUCAUACAGAACACCGAUUGCGAAGGCAGCUUACCAAGCUACUUCUGACGUUGAGGCACGAAAGCGUGGGGAGCAAACAGGAUUAGAUACCCGGGUAGUC